rnacentral:rRNA from 1 species
ACGCACGCUGGCGGCAUGCCUAACACAUGCAAGUCGAACGAGACCUUCGGGUCUAGUGGCGCACGGGUGCGUAACGCGUGGGAACCUGCCCUUAGGUUCGGAAUAACUCCCCGAAAGGGGUGCUAAUACCGGAUAAUGUCUUCGGACCAAAGAUUUAUCGCCUUUGGAUGGGCCCGCGUUGGAUUAGCUAGUUGGUAGGGUAAAAGCCUACCAAGGCGACGAUCCAUAGCUGGUCUGAGAGGAUGAUCAGCCACACUGGGACUGAGACACGGCCCAGACUCCUACGGGAGGCAGCAGUGGGGAAUAUUGGACAAUGGGCGAAAGCCUGAUCCAGCAAUGCCGCGUGAGUGAUGAAGGCCUUAGGGUUGUAAAGCUCUUUUACCCGUGAUGAUAAUGACAGUACCGGGAGAAUAAGCUCCGGCUAACUCCGUG